rnacentral:rRNA from 1 species
AACUAACGCUGGCGGCGUGCCUAACACAUGCAAGUCGUACGAGAAAAGCCGGCUUCGGCUGGUGAGUAAAGUGGCGCACGGGUGAGUAACGCGUGGAUAAUCUGCCCUUAAGUGUGGAAUAACGUACCGAAAGGUGCGCUAAUACCGCAUAAAUGCCUGGCAACACAAGUUGUCCGGCCAAAGAAGGCCUCUGUUUACAAGCUUUCGCUUCAGGAUGAGUCCGCGUACCAUUAGCUUGUUGGUGGGGUAAUGGCCUACCAAGGCUGCGAUGGUUAGCUGGUCUGAGAGGAUGAUCAGCCACACUGGAACUGAGACACGGUCCAGACUCCUACGGGAGGCAGCAGUGAGGAAUAUUGCGCAAUGGGGGAAACCCUGACGCAGCGACGCCGUGUGAGCGAUGAAGGCCUUGGGUCGUAAGCUCUGUCAGAGGGAAAGAAAGGGUCGGCGGAAUAAUACCCGCCGACAUGACGGUACCCUCGGAGGAAGCACCGGGCUAACGUCCG